AGCUGCCUACAAGAUGGAAGAAAAACGAAAGAGGGUAUUAGAAUAGUAAGAAAGGUAUCGAUGGCUUGUACUGAUUACACUUGCCAAGGUGGUGACGCACUGGAACAGGUUGCCCAAGGAGGUUGUGGACGCCCCAUCCCUGGAGGCAUUCAAGGCCAGGCUGGAUGUGGCUCUGGGCAGCCUGGUCUGGUGGUUGGUGACCCUGAACGUAGCAGGGGGGUUGAAACUAGAUGAUCAUUGCAGUCCUUUUCAACCCAGGCCAUUCUAUGAUAGUAUGAUUCCAUGAUAAGUUUCAUCAAUUAUAUACAUUAAGUAUUAGCAGGGCAAAAGACUACUUAGGCAUCUUUACGAUGGUUGCUGUUUCAAAUUCACCGUGGUUCCUCUAUUUUAGAUAACACCAGCAUUGCAAAGACUACACAGAUAUUGUGUAUCUCAGGUGCAUUUCUCAAUUCAAACCUCAAUACAUCAACUACCGUCAAAAAAAAAAACAAAACAAAGUGUCUCACUUUCUGCAACUUGAUUGAACAAGAAAACAUCCCCCAAAGAGUUUGAAAACAAUUCAGUUAUUAUAUACUUU